AGUGAACGCUGGCGGUAGGCCUAACACAUGCAAGUCGAACGGCAGCACAGUAAGCUCUCGCUCUUACGGGUGGCGAGUGGCGGACGGGUGAGGCAUACAUAGGCAUCUACUUUUUCGUGGGGGAUAACGGAGGACAACUUCCGCUAAUACCGCAUACGUUCUACGGGUGAAAGCAGGGGUUCAUCGGACCUUGCGUGAUUGAAUGAGCCGAUGUCGGAUUAGCUAGUUGGCGGGGUAAAGGCACACCAAGGCGACGAUCCGUAGCUGAUCUGAGAGGAUGAUCAGCCACACUGGAACUGAGACACGGUCCAGACUCCUACGGGAGGCAGCAGUAGGGAAUAUUGGACAAUGGGCGCAAGCCUGACCCAGCCAUACCGCGUGGGUGAAGAAGGUCUUCGGAUCGUAAAACCCUGUUGUUAGGAAAGAAAAGCAGCGUAAGAAAACCUGGCUGUUCUGACGGUACCCAAAGAGUAAGCACCGGCUAACUACGUG
rnacentral:rRNA from 1 species